UUAAGGAGUUUUAGUUAGAUUUAAAUUUGAAGCCGUCACCUUAAAUUCCUUCAAUCAAUCUCUAGAUGGUUUCGAUUUGAGGUUAGAUUGAAACCCUAGAAGCCCACCCACUACCUUCUGCUUCUUCAUCGCCAUUGUUGCUUCGACUACCACAACCAUCUGCAGCUUUCACGGUCGACUUCAAUCACCACCAAAGCCUUCACCCACCCCUCGCCAUUUCAGAAUUCAUAACAUCACCGUCCAUCGCACCAUUGCUCCUCUCUCACUAAACCGACUUUUCUCCCCUUCUGAACCCUAGAUAACGGGUCAUAACCAUUGUGUUGCCUCCUGCUUCCGUCACCAACGACUUCAUUUAAGUUAUAAUCAAUAAUCACAUAACCAUGUAAGCUUUACAUCACAUGCAUGUAAGGUUACAGAUUACGAUUUCUCCUCACCUACUCUCAUCGUCUAUUUUUAUUUCUAAAAAUCGAAUGUGUUUAAUAUGACAUAUAUCUGUGUUAAAUCUAAAGAUUCACGAGUCUCGAACUAUCGAUCACCAUAUCUACGAACACAUAAUGUUUAAAGGCAACUUCUAUAGAUGCAUGCAUGUACUGAAGGUAUGUUUUAUUCAUAUAAAUAUCUACAUGUGGGUGAGUUGAUGACAACUCAAAGGAUAUCCUGGAUUCAUAUGCCAAAAUUAUAUGUAUUUUUCUUUCAAAUACUCUUUAAAUAUGAUGCAGAUUUGGAGUCAUCUCAAAUCCUUUAAGUUCAAAAUACAGAAGAUCAUCUAGAUCUAGUUCUUUCCUCUUCCUUUGAUUUCCCAGGAAACAGAUAUAGAAUGUGAAAAGUUGGAUCAAAUUGAAGUUGUGUUUAGUCUGGAAGUUAAUGAUGAAGGUGACAACAAAAUUCGUUCUUCAACAAAACGGGUCCCUUGGAGAAAUGUUAACAAAAAUUUUGGUUUAGCACUUGAUUACUUUGAAGAUAACCAAACCUAAAUAUUUUAUAUUUAUUAGUCAUCUUGAUGUUACAGGAAAAUGCUAAGCCUAAAAUAUUUAUAGGAUACUAAUGAAGUUGUCAAUUUGUAUGUUUUUGUGUAUGGCACCAGGGUGGUCAAACAUAAGGGCGUGUAUGUUAUUUCAUGUUUUUUCAAUUGUAUCGGCAUCAUUUUUUGAUACCACAAAAGAAUUAUUUAUAAUAUUAUUGUAUUUGAUCACUGAUGGGUGAAUCUUAAAAGUUAAAAUCUAAUUUUCUUUGGUAUUUAAAUAACGACUACGUUCUGGUGGAUGUUGAUGAUGUAAAACAUAUUGCAUUUCUUCUUCAAGUCAGCAGCUUAAAGUAUGAAUGCAUAUUAUCUUUCCAUUAUCCAUGGUUGAAAUGACAGGUUUGUUCCCUGACUUUAUAGUUCUCAUGGAAGGAUGGCUAA